AAAUGUUCUCGGCUUUUGGCUCAAAUCAAGAGUAGCACGUGUUCUUAUCAGUUUAAUAUCUGAUGUGUCCUCUAUCUGACAACAAUAUAGUCAACAGAUUUUGACUGGUUUGUUGGUUUGUUUGUUUUGAAACAAAGAUUCUUCUCCUUCUACUCCAUCCAUCCACCUGGAACUAUAGUGCCUCAGAGAAUGAUUCACGUCAU
rnacentral:snRNA from 1 species